UACGUAGGGUGCAAGCGUUAUCCGGAAUUAUUGGGCGUAAAGAGCUCGUAGGCGGUUUUGUCGCGUCUGCUGUGAAAACUGGAGGCUCAACCUCCAGCCUGCAGUGGGUACGGGCAAACUAGAGUGCGGUAGGGGAGAUUGGAAUUCCUGGUGUAGCGGUGGAAUGCGCAGAUAUCAGGAGGAACACCGAUGGCGAAGGCAGAUCUCUGGGCCGUAACUGACGCUGAGACGCGAAAAGCGUGGGGAGCAAACAGG
rnacentral:rRNA from 1 species